rnacentral:rRNA from 1 species
UGAGGAAUAUUGGACAAUGGGUGAGAGCCUGAUCCAGCCAUCCCGCGUGCAGGAAGACGGCCUUAUGGGUUGUAAACUGCUUUUGUAUAGGAAUAAACCACCUUACGUGUAGGGUGUUGAAGGUACUAUACGAAUAAGCACCGGCUAACUCCGUGCCAGCAGCCGCGGUAAUACGGAGGGUGCAGCGUUAUCCGGAUUUAUUGGGUUUAAAGGGUCCGCAGGCGGAUUUGUAAGUCAGGGGUGAAAUCCGGCAGCUUAACUGUCGAAUUGCCUUUGAUACUGCAGAUCUUGA